AGAGCGAACGCUGGCGGCAGGCUUAACACAUGCAAGUCGAGCGGGCGUAGCAAUACGUCAGCGGCAGACGGGUGAGUAACGCGUGGGAACAUACCUUUUGGUUCGGAACAACACAGGGAAACUUGUGCUAAUACCGGAUAAGCCCUUACGGGGAAAGAUUUAUCGCAGCAGGAGGGGCCCGCGUCGGAUUAGGUAGUUGGUGGGGUAACGGCCCACCAAGCCUGUGAUCCGUAGCUGGUCUGAGAGGAUGAUCAGCCACACUGGGACUGAGACACGGCCCAGACUCCUACGGGGAGGCAGCAGGUGGGGAAUAUUGGACAAGUGGGCGCAAGCCUGAUCCAGCAAUGCCGCGUGAGUGAUGAAGGCCUUCGGGUUGUAAAGCUCUUUCGCACGCGACGAUGAUGACGGUAGCGUGAGAAGAACGCCCGGCUAACUUCGUGCCAGCAGCCGC
rnacentral:rRNA from 1 species